AGUGAACGCUGGCGGUAGGCCUAACACAUGCCAGUCGAACGGCAGCACAGUAAGAGCUUGCUCUUACGGGUGGCGGGUGGCGGACGGGUGAGGAAUACAUCGGAAUCUACUUUUUCGUGGGGGAUAACGUAGGGAAACUUACGCUAAUACCGCAUACGCCCUACGGGUGAAAGCAGGGGAUCUUCGGACCUUGCGCGAUUGAAUGAGCCGAUGUCGGAUUAGCUAGUUGGCGGGGUAACGGCCCACCAAGGCGACGAUCCGUAGCUAGUCUGAGAGGAUGAUCAGCCACACUGGAACUGAGACACGGUCCAGACUCCUACGGGAGGCAGCAGUGGGGAAUAUUGGACAAUGGGCGCAAGCCUGAUCCAGCCAUACCGCGUGGGUGAAGAAGGCCUGCGGGUUGUAAAGCCCUUUUGUUGGGAAAGAAAAGCAGCAGGUUAAUACCCCGCUGUUCUGACGGUACCCAAAGAAUAAGCACCGGCUAACUUCGUG
rnacentral:rRNA from 1 species